rnacentral:rRNA from 1 species
AUUGAACGCUGGCGGCAGGCCUAACACAUGCAAGUCGAGCGGAAGCAGGGAGCAUGUUCCUUGUUUCCUGGGCGGACGGGUGCGUAAUGCCUAUGAAUCUGCCUCGUCGUGGGGGAUAAGGUUCGGAAACGGGCGCUAAUACCGCAACCGUCCUGCGGGGCAAAGUGGGGGAUCUUGGGACCACACCCUAUCAGAUGAGCCUAGGUCGGAUUAGCUAGUUGGUGGGGUAAAGGCCUACCAAGGCGACGAUCCGUAACUGGUCUGAGAGGAUGAUCAGUCACACUGGAACUGAGACACGGUCCAGACUCCUACGGGAGGCAGCAGUGGGGAAUAUUGGACAAUGGGCGAAAGCCUGAUGCAGCCAUGCCGCGUGUGUGAAGAAGGUCUUCGGAUUGUAAAGUACUUUAAGUUGGGAGGAAGGGCAGUAAGUUAAUACCUUGCUGUUUUGACGUUACCAACAGAAUAAGCACCGGCUAACUUCGUG